rnacentral:rRNA from 1 species
AAGGUAUUUCCUGCCCUAUGGUUUUAUCUAAAUGGCUGCAGUAUUUUGACUGUGCAAAGGUAGCAUAGUAAUUAGUUUCUUAAUUAGGAACUUGUAUGAAUGGAUGAAUGAGAUAUAGUUUUUAUUUAUUUAAAAGUUAAAAUUUUAAUUUUAAGUAAAAAUGCUUAAGAUUUUUCUUGGGACGAUAAGACCCUAUAGAACUUAAUAUUUACUUAAUAAAUUGUUUUUAAUUCUUUUAUAUGAUUUUUUAUUUAAAUGUUUUGCUGGGGUGGUUAAUAAAUUUUAACUUUAUUUUUUUAUUUCAUUGUUAGUUGUUUUUAUUGAUCCUAAUGGAUUAAAAGAAUAAGUUACCUUAGGGAUAACAGCGUAAUUUUAGUGGGGAGUUCAUAUCUAUACUGAUUUUGCGACCUCGAUGUUGAAUUAAGAAAAAACUAAGAAGCAGAAUUCUUAGAUUUAAGUCUGUUCGA